GGAUAGCUCAGUCGGUAGAGAAUGAGACUCUUAAUCUCAGGGUUGUGGGUUUGAGCCCCACGUUGGGCA
rnacentral:tRNA from 1 species